GACGAACGCUGGCGGCGUGCUUAACACAUGCAAGUCGAACGAAGUGGCGAACGGGUGUGUAACGCGUAAUCAACCUGCCCUUCAGAGGGGGACAACAGUUGGAAACGACUGCUAAUACCCCAUACUUACUGUCGUGAUUUCUUCUGAUUAGGUAGUUGGAGGGGUAACGGGCCACCAAGGCGAUGAUCAGUAGCCGGGGUGAGAGGAGGAACGGCAGAAAUGGGAAUGAGACACGGCCCAGACGCGUAAGGGAGGCAGCAGUGGGGAAACGUCCGGAAUGGACGAAAGUCUGACGGAGCAACGCGGGGGGAGGGAUGACGGCCUUCGGGUUGUAAAGAUGUGUUAAGCGGGACGCGGGAAGGGAAAAGAAAGCGACGGCUAACUACGUGCCAGCAGACGCGGUAAUUG
rnacentral:rRNA from 1 species